AUUGAACGCUGGCGGCAUGCCUUACACAUGCCAGUCGAACGGCAGCACGGGUGCUUGCACCUGGUGGCGAGUGGCGAACGGGUUAGUAAUACAUCGGAACAUGUCCUGUAGUGGGGGAUAGCCCGGCGAAAGCCGGAUUAAUACCGCAUACGAUCUACGGAUGAAAGCGGGGGACCUUCGGGCCUCGCGCUAUAGGGUUGGCCGAUGGCUGAUUAGCUAGUUGGUGGGGUAAAGGCCUACCAAGGCGACGAUCAGUAGCUGGUCUGAGAGGACGACCAGCCACACUGGGACUGAGACACGGCCCAGACUCCUACGGGAGGCAGCAGUGGGGAAUUUUGGACAAUGGGCGAAAGCCUGAUCCAGCAAUGCCGCGUGUGUGAAGAAGGCCUUCGGGUUGUAAAGCACUUUUGUCCGGAAAGAAAUCCUUGGCUCUAAUACAGUCGGGGGAUGACGGUACCGGAAGAAUAAGCACCGGCUAACUACGUG
rnacentral:rRNA from 1 species